rnacentral:rRNA from 1 species
UACGAAGGGGGCUAGCGUUGUUCGGAAUUACUGGGCGUAAAGCGCGCGCAGGCGGUCUUCCAAGUCAGUGGUGAAAGCCCGGAGCUCAACUCCGGAACUGCCAUUGAAACUGUUAGACUUGAGGACGAGAGAGGUGAGUGGAAUUCCCAGUGUAGAGGUGAAAAUUCGUAGAUAUUGGGAAGAACACCGGUGGCGAAGGCGGCUCACUGGCUCGUAUCUGACGCUCAGGCGCGACAGCGUGGGGAUCAAACAGG